rnacentral:rRNA from 1 species
CCUACGGGCGGCAGCAGUGAGGAAUAUUGGUCAAUGGGCGAGAGCCUGAACCAGCCAAGUCGCGUGAGGGAGUACUGCCCUAUGGGUUGUAAACCUCUUUUGUCGGGGAGCAAAAGCCGGACGUGUCCGGCUGUGAGAGUACCCGAAGAAAAAGCAUCGGCUAACUCCGUGCCAGCAGCCGCGGUAAUACGGAGGAUGCGAGCGUUAUCCGGAUUUAUUGGGUUUAAAGGGUGCGUAGGCGGGAUGCCAAGUCAGCGGUCAAAUACGGGGGCUCAACCUGCGUCCGCCGUUGAAACUGGCGUUCUUGAGUGGGCGAGAAGUACGCGGAAUGCGUGGUGUAGCGGUGAAAUGCAUAGAUAUCACGCAGAACCCCGAUUGCGAAGGCAGCGUACCGGCGCCCGACUGACGCUGAAGCACGAAAGCGUGGGUAUCGAACAGGAUUAGAUACCCCAGUAGUC